rnacentral:rRNA from 1 species
GCGGGGGAUUCUUCGGAACCUCGCGCGAUUGGAGCGGCCGAUGUCGGAUUAGCUAGUAGGUGAGGUAAAAGGCUCACCUAGGCGACGAUCCGUAGCGGGUCUGAGAGGAUGAUCCGCCACACUGGGACUGAGACACGGCCCAGACUCCUACGGGAGGCAGCAGUGGGGAAUUUUGGACAAUGGGGCGCAAGCCUGAUCCAGCCAUGCCGCGUGAGUGAAGAAGGCCUUCGGGGUUGUAAAAGCGUCUUUUCGGCCGGGAAGAAUCGUGGUCUCUAACAUAGGCCAUGGAUGACGGUACCGGACUAAGAAGCACCGGCUAACUACGUGCCAGCAGCCGCGGUAAUACGUAGGGUGCGAGCGUUAAUCGGAAUUACUGGGCGUAAAGCGUGCGCAGGCGGUUUUGUAAGACAGAUGUGAAAUCCCCCGGGCUUAACCUGGGAACUGCGUUUGUGACUGCA